UCUGGUGCCGAUGCGCUUAGGGGAGACACCCGUUCCCAUCCCGAACACGAUGGUUAAGACUUAAGCGGCCGAUGGUACUAUGCUGGAGACGGCAUGGGAGAGCAGGUGGGUGCCAGAU
rnacentral:rRNA from 10 species